rnacentral:rRNA from 1 species
CAGCCGCCGCGGGAAUACGAAGGGGGCUAGCGUUGUUCGGAAUUACUGGGCGUAAAGGGCGCGUAGGCGGCCAUUCAAGUUAGAUGUGAAAGCCCUGGGCUCAACCUAGGAAUUGCAUUUGAUACUGUUUGGCUUGAGUUCGGGAGAGGUGAGUGGAAUUCCCAGUGUAGAGGUGAAAUUCGUAGAUAUUGGGAAGAACACCAGUGGCGAAGGCGGCUCACUGGACCGACACUGACGCUGAGGCGCGAAAGCGUGGGGAGCAAACAGGAUUAGAUACCCCGGUAGUCCCUGUCUCUUAUAC